rnacentral:lncRNA from 1 species
CUGGAGGAGGAGGCGUUUUGAGACUGUGAGGUAGUUGCUGGAAACUGCUCUUCUGACUCCAUGCCCAAAAGAGGCUGUGUGCAAGAAUGGAAUCCCUUGGGGAUUGGGACAUACUCUGUUGUGUCAUUAAGGGUUCUUUAGGUGAUAGAAUCAUACCUGAGAUCCUAGAGGUGGGUGUCAGUGAAAGACGGCCAGGCUCAUGACCUCACUUUCUCCCUUCAUCCUGGGACUUGCAGGGCUAUCUGGGAAAGGCAGAAACCAUGACAAAGGCAAGUCCACGGUGAAGCAGUUUUCUCACACCUCGGAUUAGCCUCUCACAGGUGCAGUUGAGGUUGAGACAGUGUCUCAGAGGCCGCCUGUUGUGAUGGGGAUGUCCAGUAGUGCUGUUGGGGGGCACAGUGGAUUCCUCAUGAAGGCAAAGAAAAAUCAAAGCUCGCCUGAGAGAACAAGACACCUUGUAUUUGAGUCUAAGCAAUGUACAAAGAUUCCUGUCAGAGGACCGUAAAGCUUCCUGCAAAGUGCAAACAACUUCAACUCCCAUAACGAGAGAACGACACCCAACCUGGAGCACAGCCAGCUUACCCAACGUCUCUUUUGCUCUCUGAAAUCUGUGGCAGCUACAUAAUCUGUAGCAAGAAACAGUCCCAUCCUGCAAUAUCUCAAUGAAAGAGCCCCUUCACAAUGAGAAACCUGUGCAGAUGAAAUGAAAGAGAGACUAGAUUACCAGGAAAAAGCCAAACACAGCUGCCUGCUUCUCAUAAUAAAGUAAUCAUCCAGCCCUCCGAAAGAAGCAGGAGAACAAGACUUUCCUUGUUGGCAGCUGAAAUGGGACUUUACAGUAUUAAAAUUAUCAAAGCUGCCCAGUCAUUAAAAUGCGACAGUGUUUAGAAGGAAGCACUUUUGCAAUGGAUUCCUAUGAGGGUCAUUCUCUGUGAAUUGGGAAGAGUUUAGUGUGCAAGUCCUUGAGCCAGACACAGGAAACCCUAGGCUGACUGGGAAAAUGGAAGUCAGGAAAAGAAGAGAAUGAAAUCCCAAGACAAUGGAGGAGUGCCCCUUCAUGUUGUGAAACACCUGCUCAGCUGGGAACUGAAUUCGAGCUGAGAAGUUUGGGCUUAUAGAUGAUCAGUUUGCAGAGGCUUACCCUCAGCAUAUCAAGAUUGAGUCUUUGGAAAUAAAGCCAAGUGAAUAUAAAAGAGAAGUAGAAGAGCAAAUUGGGCAGAAACAUGUCAAAAGCAAAAAACAAACAACAACAAGAAAACCCAGGAUAACAGGCAGCAUUUCAGUUGGAAUUUCCAAAAUGAUGGCACUGAACAAUCUGAAGUCUGCUUUUAUUUAGUGCCCCUGGCCAGUCAGAAAAGAAUGCACAGCUGCCUCACCAUGACCACCUGGGUCCUGCAGUUCUGCCAGCAGCCAGUACGGGACACAUGAGCCUGCCUUUUCUGACCCUUGGAGGACCCGCGUGUUCAGCACAUGCCACCUGAGGAUGAGAGCUCCAUUCUCCUCAGCACAGACUCCAGCCACACUGCCUCACUCCAGUUGGAGGCAGAGAUAAGUAAAAACCUUCCUCUAACUGCUGAGGAUCAGGGACCCACUAGAAGGGUUUUGUGUGGAAAAUUAGAAACAAAAAAAUAUUCCUAUGGCUCUAGUGCACCCCAAGGACUUUCCCCACACCCAAGUGUGGUGACCACAAUGCCAGGUGCACGCCAUGACCUCGUGACACAAAUAUAGCAUUUGUCACACAAUUAUAACACCUACAAUGGAGAUACAUCUGUAAACAAAUAUAUCACCCAUAAUACAGUUGUGACACUUGUAAUACUAAUGUAACAACUGUAAUAUUGAUCUGACACCUGUAAUACAACUGUAAGACUCAUAACAGCAAUAAAACACUCAGAAUACCAAUAUAGCAUCUGAAAUACAAAUAUAAUCACCCUAAUACUGAUCAAACACCCUUAAUAGAACUCUAACUCUCAUAACACCAAUGUCGAUUCACAAUACAAAUGAAACAUCCAUAACACUGAUGUAACAUCUAUAGUGCUCUCUUGACACCUGUAAUACAACUGUAACACUCACAAUACCAACAUACAACUCAUAAUACCAAUAUGGCAUCUGCAAUACAAAUAUAACAACUUUCAUACUGAUGUAACAACUUUCAUAUUGAUCUAACACAUAUAAUACUAAUAUAGCACUCCUAAUACCACUGUAACAUUUGUAAUACAAAUAGAACAACAAUAACACUGAUGUAACACCCGUAAAUACUGAUGUGACACCUGUCAUACAGAUGUAAGACCUGUAAUACUGACAUAACAUUCCUACACUUACAAAGGCAGUUGGUUUCACAGCUUCCACUGAGCUGGAUUUCGCUCCUAUAAUGAAGUUUGAUGUCGUUGUCUCUGCUUUAGUGACAUGGUAUUGACAUGGUUGUUUUCAUUGAAAAGGAGUUUACUUCCCAAUAGUUUUAUACCUCUAGGAAACUUGAAAUAGCAGUUAGUAUACUUUAUCCUUUCUCCCAGAUUCCCGACUGGUUGUUGCUGUGCCAUAUUUGCAGCUUCAUUCAAAAUAUCCCACUGUGUUUUACAAAAAGUAGAAACACUCUCCCAAAUUACCAUCAUGUAACUACCAAAUCAGGAAAUACAGGGUUAGUAUUGGUAAUUGUAAUGGCAAAAUAUUUAUUUACAAGCACAAAUUUAAUCCUGUCACUUUCCUGAUUUAAUUUUGCUAAUGGUUUUGAGAGGUGAAGCCACCUGAACUUCCUGGGUUGAGUGGGGACUCAGAGAAGU